AUGCACCUGCUCUUCAAGAUUCAAAGGACCCACAUGCAGUGAGUCUGUUCCUUGCAAACUAAAGUGUGACAAUGGCGGAAGUCCUAACGAUGUCUGUAAGAAGUGUAACUGUGUUGGAAAUUGGAAAGGGAGUACCUGUGGUGAAUGUGGA